GUCACGAUAGCUCAGUGGUAGAGCAGCGGCGUCUUUAGCUGAAGGUCGUGGGUUCGAAUCCCGCUCGUGACA
rnacentral:tRNA from 1 species